rnacentral:rRNA from 1 species
GACGAACGCUGGCGGCGUGCCUAAUACAUGCAAGUCGAACGCAGUGGGGACGGGUGAGUAACACGUGGGUAACCUCCCAUCAGAGGGGAUAACACUUGGAAACAGGUGCUAAACCGAUAUUGAUGGAUGGACCCGCGGUGCAUUCGCUAGUGGGUGAGGUAACGGCUCACCAAGGCCAGGAGGCAUAGCCGACCGUAGAGGGUGAUCGGCCAAACGGGGACUGAGAUACGGCCCAGACUCCUACGUGAGGCAGCAGUGGGGAAUAUUGCACAUUGGGCGCAAGCCUGAUGCAGCCAUGCCGCGUGUAUGAAGAAGGCCUUAGGGUUGUAAAGUACUUUCAGCGGGGAGGCGUUACCCGCAGAAGAAGCACCGGCUAACUCCGUGCCAGUCGCCGCGGUAAUUC